rnacentral:rRNA from 1 species
UACAGAGGGGGCCAGCGUUAUUCGGAAUUAUUGGGCGUAAAGGGCGCGUAGGCGGCCAUGCGUGUCUUCCGUGAAAUCCCUCGGCUCAACCGAGGACGUGCGGAAGAAACUGCAAGGCUCGAGUCCGGAAGAGGGGGGCGGAAUUCCCAGUGUAGCGGUGAAAUUCGUAGAUAUUGGGAAGAACACCAGUGGCGAAGGCGGCUAACUGGUCCAGAUCUGACGCUGAGGUGCGAAAGCGUGGGGAGCAAACAGG